CCUUGCUUCAAGUGAUCCUCCCACCCCAAUCUCCCAAAGUGCUGUGACUACAGGUGUGAGUCACUGCACCAGGCCCAACCUGAAACCUUGACUGCAACUCACCUCAGAGACUUCAAUAUACUGGCUAUGCCCCAAGUCAGGUGUGGAGAGGGCAGCUUUUCUCAUCAGGCCUGGCAGGCAUACAGAGCAGUUUUCAAGCCUCUAUAGAAGUCAUCUUACAGGGAGUCUGAGCCAGUGGAAGGCAGUUGUAGUGAUAUGUGUACUCCCAAGGUAGCGCUCAAUGCUCCCACUCGCAAAUACUCAUAUGUUGCUUCUGACUUGAAGCAGAGGAAUCACGACCUAAGAAGCCACAGGCUUGAAGAUGGCAGAGCACAAGAUGGCAGAAGUUUGGAAUGAAUUCCUACUUGGAAGAGAAGCGUUUAUUUACCAAAAAAUAUAUUUUUGAGUUUGCAUGAGUAAGAAAUAAAUCCAAUUAUGCUAA